ACCAGACUCCUACGGGAGGCAGCAGUGGGGAAUAUUGCACAAUGGGCGAAAGCCUGAUGCAGCAACGCCGCGUGAAGGAAGAAGGGUUUCGGCUCGUAAACUUCUAUCAACAGGGACGAAAGAAAUGACGGUACCUGAAUAAGAAGCUCCGGCUAACUACGUGCCAGCAGCCGCGGUAAUACGUAGGGAGCAAGCGUUAUCCGGAUUUACUGGGUGUAAAGGGCGCGUAGGCGGGAUGGCAAGUCAGAUGUGAAAUCCAAGGGCUCAACCCGUGAACUGCAUUUGAAACUGUCGUUCUUGAGUACUGGAGAGGCUGACGGAAUUCCUAGUGUAGCGGUGAAAUGCGUAGAUAUUAGGAGGAACACCAGUGGCGAAGGCGGUCAACUGGACAGCAACUGACGCUGAGGCGCGAAAGCGUGGGGAGCAAACAGGAUUAGAUACCCGGGUA
rnacentral:rRNA from 1 species